UGAGAGCUUGAAGACAAGAAACACCUAAAGUUGUUCAACUAGGUACGCAAAUUUCGAGGACGAAAUUUUUUUAAGGGGGAGAGGAUGUAACACCCAGCAUUUUCACUAAAGUAUAUAUAUUAUUAAUAUUAUUUUAGAAGCCUGUAAGUUGAAAGAGAUGGACUAACUUUCAAUAUUUAUGAAAAAGCCCAACAAUAGUAAAUGGGCCAAGAGUUUUAUAAAAAAUAAAAGAGCCCAACAGUGGUUAUUUGGGCCAAUGGUUUGUUAGUAUGUGGAUUAAUCGAACCUUAGCUGAUUAGUUAUUAGCCUUUAAUUAGGUUAUUAGGUUUACUAAUCCUAAUUAAGUAUUCAGCCACCACGUAGUAUAUCACUUUUUACGCAGCUGCUGCUGCUAUUGUUAAACCGACUUGAAACAAAUAUAUAUAUAUUCCCUCAAUCCCUACCGAAACCAAUUCUCCAGUCUGCCAAAUCACAUACGCCGCCCAUUAUCAUCCCCAACAAUCUUUCACAAGCAAUUCGAUUGACAAGCAGGUUAAGCUGUGAUGCAGAUGGAUGUCAGCAGAGCAAAGCUUUUGAUAUAUAAGUACUAAAUUAGGCUCAGGAUUCCAUGUCUUCAUACAUGUAAUCCACUUAAGCUAUUCCGCUGCAACGCUUAGUGCGUUUUACUUUAUUGAUGUGUUGCAAAGAUUUCAAACUAAUAGCUUACAGAAUUAUGUCACCUGAUACUUAGACAACUUGUCGUUAUGUAUUGCGAGUUGUCUGCUUUUGAGUUUUAGAAAAGAUUGUUUAUGAUUACCAAAUAUUUUGGUAAAUUAUUGUUUAAGCAGGUUAGUGAUUUUUAUUGAGAUCUA